AUAUAUAAAGUAAUUUUUACAUUUAAUUUCGGCUUAAAAAUUUGAUUUUUGUCAUAUAUAUA
rnacentral:tRNA from 1 species